rnacentral:rRNA from 1 species
UGUCUACGGACCAAAGUGUGUGACCUUUCGGGCCACAUGCUAUCGGAUGCGCCUACGUGGGAUUAGCUAGUUGGUGAGGUAAUGGCUCACCAAGGCGACGAUCCCUAGCUGGUUUGAGAGGAUGAUCAGCCACACUGGAACUGAGGCACGGUCCAGACUCCUACGGGAGGCAGCAGUGGGGAAUAUUGGACAAUGGGCGCAAGCCUGAUCCAGCCAUGCCGCGUGUGUGAAGAAGGCCCUCGGGUUGUAAAGCACUUUCAGUUGGGAGGAAGGGUUGUGUGUUAAUAGUACACAGCCUUAACGUUACCAACAGAAGAAGCACCGGCUAACUCUGUGCCAGCAGCCGCGGUAAUACAGAGGGUGCAAGCGUUAAUCGGAAUUACUGGGCGUAAAGCGCACGUAGGCGGUUUUUUAAGUCAGAUGUGAAAGCCCCGGGCUCAACCUGGGAAUUGCAUUUGAAACUGGAAAACUAGAGUGUGUGAGAGGGGGGUAGAAUUCCAAGUGUAGCGGUGAAAUGCGUAGAGAUUUGGAGNGAAUACCAGUUGCGAAGGCGGCCCCCUGGCACAACACUGACGCUCAGGUGCGAAAGCGUGGGGAGCAAACAGGAUUAGAUACCCUGGUAGUCCACGCCGUAAACGAUGUCUACUAGCUGUUCGUGACCUUGUGUCGUGAGUAGCGCAGCUAACGCACUAAGUAGACCGCCUGGGNGANGUANCGGUCGCAAGAUUAAAACUCAAAUGAAUUGACGGGGGCCCGCACAAGCGGUGGAGCAUGUGGUUUAAUUCGACGCAACGCGAAGAACCUUACCUACUCUUGACAUCCAGAGAAGACUGCAGAGAUGCGGUUGUGCCUUCGGGAACUCUGAGACAGGUGCUGCAUGGCUGUCGUCAGCUCGUGUUGUGAAAUGUUGGGUUAAGUCCCGCAACGAGCGCAACCCUCAUCCUUAGUUGCCAGCACGUAAUGGUGGGAACUCUAGGGAGACUGCCGGUGAUAAACCGGAGGAAGGUGGGGACGACGUCAAGUCAUCAUGGCCCUUACGAGUAGGGCUACACACGUGCUACAAUGGUAUGUACAGAGGGAGGCAAGCUGGCGACAGUGAGCGGAUCUCUUAAAGCAUAUCGUAGUCCGGAUCGCAGUCUGCAACUCGACUGCGUGAAGUCGGAAUCGCUAGUAAUCGCGGAUCAGAAUGUCGCGGUGAAUACGUUCCCGGGUC